AGACCGUGGCUACUAUGCCAACUGGUGAAUAGCUCGGCUCGAGUGCCGAUGAAGGACGUGCCAAGCUGCGAUAAGCUCAGGGGAGCCGCACGGAGGCGAAGAACCUGAGAUUUCCGAAUGGGAAUCCCCACCGCAAUUGCCUUCGCGCAAUGGGGAACGCCGGGAACUGAAACAUCUCAGUACCGGCAGGAAGAGAAACCGAAUGGGAUGUCGUUACUAACGGCGAGUGAACGCGACACAGUCCAAACCGAAGCUUACGGGGCUUUGCCCCACGAGCAAUGUGGUGUUCGGACUGACUCUCAGCACCGGAUCGUCUGUGUGAAGUCUCCUGGAACGGAGCGUGAGACAGGGUGAAAACCCCGUAACACAGACCAGUACGGUGUGCGUCAGCUCCAGAGUAUCGGGGGUUGGAUAUCCCUCGUGAAUAUGGCCGGCAUCGACGGCCAAGACUAAACACAUCUCGAGACCGAUAGUGAACAAGUAGCGUGAGCGAACGCUGAAAAGCACCCCACAAAGGGAGGUGCAAUAGGGCUUGAACUCAGUUGGCGAUCGAGCGACGGGGCAUAAAAGGCGUCUUAGUGAACGACCCGGGGGCGACCCCGCAGUAGCAACCGAGACGAGCCGAUGUUCCGUCGUGCGUUUUGAAAAACGAGCCAGGGAGUGUGUCUGCUUGACGAGUCUAACCGAGCAUCGGGGAAGGCAUAGGGAAACCGACAUGGCCGCAGUGCGUUCUACGUACCAGGGCCGCCGUGUUCAAGCGCGGGGAGUCGAGCGGACACGACCCGAAUCCGGACGAUCUACACGAUGGCAAGGUGAAGCGUGGCGAAAGCUGCGUGGAGGCCUGUUAGGGAUGGUGUCCUACAAUACCCUCCCGUGACCAGUGUGUAGGGGUGAAAGGCCCAUCGAGUCCGGCAACAGCUGGUUCCGACCGAAACAUGUCGAAGCAUGACCUCCGCCGAGGUAGUUCGUGGGGUAGAGCGACCGAUUGGAGGGACCGACUCCGAGAGGAGUCGGCCCUCCUGUCGAACUCCGAACCUACGAACGCCGUCGACGCGGGGAGAGCGGUGUGCGGGGUAAGCCUGUGCACCAUGAGGGAGACAACCCAGAGCUUGGUUGAGGUCCCCAAGUGUGGACUAAGUGCGAUCGAAGGUGGUUCCGAGCCAUAGACAGCCGGGAGGUGAGCUUAGAAGCAGCUACCCGCUAAGAAAAGCGUAACAGCUUACCGGCCGAGGUUUGGAGCGCCGAAAAUGAUCGGGGCUCAAGUCCACCACCGAUACCUAGCGGCGCACUGUAUAGUGCAUCCAGUAGGUCGGCGCUCCGUUUGGGUGGAAGUACGGGCGAGAGUUCGUAUGGACCGAACGGUGACGAUAAUCCUGGCCACAGUAGCAGCGGUAGUCGGGUUAGAAAUCCCGACGGCCUCACGGACAAGGGUUCCUCGGCAAUGUUCGUCAACCGAGGGUUAGCCGGUCCUCAGUCUUACCGCAGUUCGAGUAAGACGAAUCGGGAAACUGGUUAAUAUUCCAGUGCCCGCGUGCAAUCAUGCCGACGCCUCGGGGUCGACCGAGCCGGGCACUCGCCCGGUCGAAUCACCAAAACUUCGUGGAAGCCGUAACGGCACGAAGCGGGCGAACGGUGAGAUAGAGAAAUUCGGUCCAACCUGGGGCCCGUGAAAAGGCGCACGCGGUCCGUACCCAGAUCCGACACAGGUGUCCGUGGCGGCGAAAGCCAAGGCCUGUCGGGGAGAACCGACGUUAGGGAAUUCGGCAAGUUAGUCCCGUACGUUCGCAAUAAGGGAUGCCUGCCUCGGAAUGAGGCAGGUCGCAGCGACUCGGACGCUCCAACUGUCUAAUAACAACACAGGUGACCGCAAAUCCGCAAGGACUCGUACGGUCACUGAAUCCUGCCCAGUGCGGGUAUCUGAACACCCGGUACAACGGGACGAAGGACCCGUCAACGGCGGGGGUAACUAUGACCCUCUUAAGGUAGCGUAGUACCUUGCCGCUUCAGUAGCGGCUCGCAUGAAUGGAUGAAUGAGAGCGUCACUGUCCCAACGUUGGGCCCGGUGAACUGUACGUUCCAGUGCGGAGUCUGGAGACCCCCAAGGGGAAGCGAAGACCCUAUAGAGCUUUACUGCAAGCUGUCGCUGGGACACGGUCGCUAGUGUGCAGGAUAGGUAGGAGUCGUCACGCAGGCACCCGCGCUAGCGGGCCGCCGAGACACCACUGAAAUACUACCCACUAGUGACUGUGACCCUUACUCCGGGAGGAGGACACCGGUAGCUGGGCAGUUUGACUGGGGCGGUACGGGCUUGAAAAGAUAUCGAGCCCGCCCGAAGAUCACCUCAUCCGGGUCGGAGACCCGGAAUAGAGCGCAAGAGCAAAAGGUGGUCUGACAGUGUUCUCUCCAACACGAGAACGCUGACGCGAAAGCGCGGUCUAGCGAACGGAUGAGCCUGCUUGAUGCGGGCCAUUUACGACAGAAAAGCUACCUUAGGGAUAACAGAGUCGUCACCCGCAAGAGCACAUAUCGACCGGGUGGCUUGCUACCUCGAUGUCGGUUCCCUCCAUCCUGCCCGUGCAGCAGCGGGCAAGGGUGAGGUUGUUCGCCUAUUAAAGGAGGUCGUGAGCUGGGUUUAGACCGUCGUGAGACAGGUCGGCUGCUAUCUAUUGGGGGUGUCAUGGUACCUGACGGGAACGAUCGUAUAGUACGAGAGGAACUACGAUUGGUCGCCACUGGUGUACCGGUUGUCCGAGAGGGCACGUGCCGGGCAGCCACGCGACACGGGGUAAGAGCUGAACGCAUCUAAGCUCGAAACCCACCCGGAAAAGAGGUACCGCCGAGGUCACUCGUAGAAGACGAGUUCGAUAGACUCGGGGUGUACGCGCCGAGGCAACGAGGCGUUUAGCCCGCGAGCACUAACAGACCGAGCCACAUCAG
rfam:H.morrhuae ribosomal RNA operon and flanking regions